rnacentral:rRNA from 1 species
GACGAACGCUGGCGGCGUGCCUAAUACAUGCAAGUCGAACGCAGUGGGGACGGGUGAGUAACACGUGGGUAACCUCCCAUCAGAGGGGAUAACACUUGGCAACAGGUGCUAAACUGAUAUUGGUGGAUGGACCCGCGGGGCAUUAGCUAGUUGGUGGGGUAACGGCUUACCAAGGCGACGAUGCAUAGCCGACCUGAGAGGGUGAUCAGCCAAACUGGAACUGAGACACGGUCCAGACUCCUACGGGAGGCAGCAGUAGGGAAUAUUCGGCAAUGGGCGAAAGUCUGACCGAGCCACGCCGCGUGAGUGAAGAAGGCUUUCGGGUCGUAAAGCACUUUUGGUGGAGAAGCGGUAUCUACCCAGAAAGCAACGGCUAACUCCGUGCCAGCAGCCGCGGUAAUUC